UGAGUGCAGCGAGCGCGGAUGUAAAAAUGAUGAAAUCGAAUUACUUGCAUCUUAAAAAUGGAACAGCAAAAUGUAAACUAUGUCAAAAAAUUAUUAAAACAAGUGGAAAUUCAACAAAUAUGUCGUCGCACAUAAAAAACAAGCACUAUGACACUUUUGUAAAGUGUAUGCAAAAAAAGGUUUCGAUGAAGUUUCGUGAAAACCAAACAAUUGAACAAUCAUUUCGAAACAUUGAAGCUUUAAAAGACAAUGGACAGAAGGCGAAUGAAAUAUAUGAAGCAAUUGUCUUCAUGAUUUGCAGAGACAACAUGCCUGUCCGGUGCGUGGAGAAAGAAGGUCUAACACACCUUCUUAAGAAAUGUGUCCCGCAAUUUAAAAUGCCUGGCCGGUCCAAGAUUACAACAAUGAUCGAAGAAAAAUACAGCAAAUCAGUGGAUGCUGUUAAAAAGAUUUUAAGCGAAGUGGAGGAUGUCGCAUUCACCUGCGACGCAGUGACUAUCACAAACUCAAGCCGAUCAUUUCUUACAAUAACUGCGCAUUUUAUAAAUAAGGAAUGUUUGGAAUCAAUUUGUUUAAUGGCAGCUAGAAUGGAUCAGUGUUCUGUGAAUUUUGGCCAUUUGUCACUUUGUUGUUAUUUUUACCACCUAAUAUAAGAAAACCAUACAUUUCUCAAAUUUAAUUUAGUCUCAUACCAGUGAGUACAUAAGCUCUCUAUUGGAGAAAGCGUGCGACGAUUUUAGCAUUGAUAAGUCUAAGUGUACAACACUGACCACGGAUAAUGCGAAUAAUAUGAAAGCCGCAUCAAGAUAUUUUAUUGGAAAUGGGAAACACAUUCCUUGCUUUGCGCAUACCAUCCACUUAGUGGUAGACGAUUCUGUGAAGGAGAUCGCAUCAUUUUGUAGUAUUUUGGACAAAGUUAAAAAAAUUGUUAUGCAUUUCAAGCACAGUCCUGCAUUAAUGGACGAGCUGCGAAAAGCUCAGGCUGAUGAGGGAAUUCCGGAAGCAAGCCUGUGCAAGCCUCUUGAAUUAAAUAAAGUCUUAGUAAAGUCUUCAUUCCUCGAUCCAAGAUUUAAAAAGAUGUAUAUCUCGCCAAUCGGGGUACAAGAGGCGACUAAAGAUAUUUUACAAGAAUUGAUUACAUUUACUGAAGAAAAACUGAUUUCAGAUGACGAAAAUUCAGAUGACCAAUAGUGAUAGCUUGGAAAAGGCGCACAAUAGGUCAAUUGUGAAAGUAGACGGUUCGGAAAAUAGGGAGCUAAAGAUGUAUCUCAGCUUGCCCCAAACUUCGUGGGAAAGUAACCCAAUAAUGUUUUGGAGUUCGUAUAAGGCAGCUAUGCCAGGACUUUCGAAGCUUGCCUUACGAUACCUUACAACCCCUGGUAGUUCAGUGCCUUCGAAGCGACUUGCUUCUGCAAUUAAAUGUGUUGUCUGUGACUCGCGAAGUCGUAUGACGGAUACACAUAUAACAGAACGGGUUUUUUUGAAAUCUUUAAACUCCAAAUACUGGAGUUAAACAUGCCUUUGAAUAUGCAAAAUGACAAAUUCCGUAUUAAGAAAAUCCGUAUUAAGAAAAUGCGUGUGAAGAAAAUCUGUAUUAAGAAAAUGCGUGUAAAGAAAAUCCGUAUUAAGAAAAUAAAUUGUU